rnacentral:rRNA from 1 species
AGUGAACGCUGGCGGUAGGCCUAACACAUGCAAGUCGAACGGCAGCACAGUAAGAGCUUGCUCUUACGGGUGGCGAGUGGCGGACGGGUGAGGAAUACAUCGGAAUCUACUUUUUCGUGGGGGAUAACGUAGGGAUACUUACGCUAAUACCGCAUACGACCUACGGGUGAAAGCAGGGGAUCUUCGGACCUUGCGCGAUUGAAUGAGCCGAUGUCGGAUUAGCUAGUUGGCGGGGUAAAGGCCCACCAAGGCGACGAUCCGUAGCUGGUCUGAGAGGAUGAUCAGCCACACUGGAACUGAGACACGGUCCAGACUCCUACGGAAGGCAGCAGUGGGGAAUAUUGGACAAUGGGCGCAAGCCUGAUCCAGCCAUACCGCGUGGGUGAAGAAGGCCUUCGGGUUGUAAAGCCCUUUUGUUGGGAAAGAAAAGCAGCAGGUUAAUACCCCGCUGUUCUGACGGUACCCAAAGAAUAAGCACCGGCUAACUUCGUG